GAUGAACGCUGGCGGCGUGCCUAAUACAUGCAAGUCGAGCGAACGGACGAGAAGCUUGCUUCUCUGAUGUUAGCGGCUGACGUGUGAGUAACACGUGGAUAACCUACCUAUAAGACUGGGAUAACUUCGGGAAACCGGAGCUAAUACCGGAUAAUAUUUUGAACCGCAUGGUUCAAAAGUGAAAGACGGUCUUGCUGUCACUUAUAGAUGGAUCCGCGCUGCAUUAGCUAGUUGGUAAGGUAACGGCUUACCAAGGCAACGAUGCAUAGCCGACCUGAGAGGGUGAUCGGCGACACUGGAACUGAGACACGGUCCAGACUCCUACGGGAGGCAGCAGUAGGGAAUCUUCCGCAAUGGGCGAAAGCCUGACGGAGCAACGCCGCGUGAGUGAUGAAGGUCUUCGGAUCGUAAAACUCUGUUAUUAGGGAAGAACAUAUGUGUAAGUAACUGUGCACAGCUUGACGGUACCUAAUCAGAAAGCCACGGCUAACUACGUG
rnacentral:rRNA from 1 species